rnacentral:rRNA from 1 species
UACGUAGGGGGCAAGCGUUGUCCGGAAUCAUUGGGCGUAAAGCGCGCGUAGGCGGCCCGGUAAGUCCGCUCUGAAAGUCCAGGGCUCAACCCUGGAAAGCGGGUGGAUACUGCCGGGCUAGAAUCCGGAAGAGGCGAGUGGAAUUCCUGGUGUAGCGGUGGAAUGCGCAGAUAUCAGGAGGAACACCAAUAGCGAAGGCAGCUCGCUGGGACGGUAUUGACGCUAAGGCGCGAAAGCGUGGGAGCAACAGG